UAUAAACCGCACAGCCACCAAUGCAGAAAGGACACGACUCCUGACGACUGGUGCGACAACAUCUAUGCAACGCGCUGCGGACGGGUUCCUUCGGCAGCGAUCAGGUUGCUGCAGGGAACAUCGAUUGGAAUUCCAGCUCCCUCGACAGUGACGUAUAGACGAACGAGAGCCAGCGGUACAGACCCUGCAGCAGCAGAUGACUUCAAUAUGUACGCUACUGUCGCAACCAUGGUCGCUACAGCUCUGGAGCACAUCUGCCGGCAUCGGACGAUUGCCAAACUGCCAUCCGAGACACCAACGAGAUCGUCAGGUAUUAGAAUACCGUCCUUCGGGUGACUUCUUGCACUUGUCGGACCAUUGAAAAGGUGGGGACGAGUGUGGGGAUAGCAUGAUGUUAUCACUCAUCCCUUAUCUACUGCGAGAAAACAUUAAGCCUGUUGAGCCGUAGCGUCACGGAUGCGGAAAAGAAAUGCCUCUCGAUGACUGUACCUGACAGAUUACGGCGCAAUGGUCUUCUGCACAGGGAAUGACAGUGUACGUAAAUAAACAUAUUAGUUAACCUGA